rnacentral:ncRNA from 1 species
AUAAUGGUACUUCCGGAAACGGCUCGGAGAGAUCCUCGGAGGGGGUGAGAUUCCCGUGA